GAAACAAAAAAAAUCCACCGUCUCUCUCUCUCUCUCUCUUUCGCUCUCUCUCUCUCUCUUCGAUUCCUCUCUUGCACCAGAUCCCCUUGACCACGAGUCCAUGAUGCUACCGCCGCUACCUCCAAUUCCGGCGAGAUCCAGCGCUCUUCCAUGUUGCCUCUCACUGGCCUAGAUCCUCUUCAGUGCUCUCAUCUGAUGCUCCACCAUCACGAUGCCCUCCACACCCAUGUAUGCGCCGCUGCGGCAACCGUAGUCGCUGUGGUCCCUGGCGCGGUUGUCAUGCCUCCUCUAGUUGGAAUCUCGGCAUGCGCUGCUGCCGGUCCGAAUACUCAUCGCCUGCAGUAGCGACGUCCUCUGCGACCAUGCAUCAACCAUGUGUCGCCGGCAUGGCUACUUCAUUUCCUAGGCCCACUUACACGCGUCUCCACACGCGCUGCCAUCCGCUCGAGAUCGAUGGUGCUUGGCCUCGGCUACCUCGACUCCAGCGGACUCUACCGAUGAUUCAGCAAGGCACUCAUGUCCUCUGUUCCUGCCCUCUCGGGUGCUUUUGUGUGGCAUGGCCAUCAUGUCUAUUUGCCGGCGAUUGCAACCUUAAUCUAUACUACCUUAGUCAUUCGCCUGAUCCACUACAUGUCAGCAUGUUUCAUUUGUGCACUGAAAUGCUAGCUACUACUUGUCAUCACGGCGUCAUAAAUGAUCUUGCUAGACCACGGCUGCAUAACAACACAUAACGGUCAUAAGUUGUUUCUAAUUGGGUUGAUAUAUUUGUAUGUAUCAUUCAGUGAUCGACCACUUGUCUAUAUGUGAAUUCAGGAAGAACGUCUGCAUCCUCUUUUUCUCAAUAGUUCUUUCUUGUGAUGCAUUAGCAUUUAAUUUUCUUACUGCUAUGUCCAUGGAUGAAUCCUUACUGAUUUCCUUGUCAUAUAUUGUGUAAUACUACAUGAAUAAGUCUCAUAUGCAUCUAUCUGUCGAGGUAUUGCUCUUUAUCAUAUACAAUCCAUAAUUUCAUCUUCCCUUGUAGGUUGCAAAAUUGACCUUGCUUCAGCCAACUUCCGUAUGUGUUCUUCUUUUGCCUACUAGGUACAUCUGAUUUCCAGAAUUCUCUGUACUUGCAUGUAUUAGACGUCUGCCAAUCGUCGCCCCACCUAAAGCUACAAGAAAGAUGAGCCCUCACAUAAAUUGAUGAGAUAAAUGGAUGAUGCAUGGCUAAAUUGUUGAUUGCAAGGUGGAGAUUGGGUCUACUAUCUCAUAGUUUAUAUUGAUAUUUUAGAAUGUAUUUUUCAUGAUCAAUGUAUAGAAAUCAUGUACUCACUAUUUGGAUUCUGUCCAAUGUAAUGCAAUAGAGUCAAUUUAAUACUAUAUGAGAUCUUUCUGGUUACUGGAUUGCUGCUCCUUGCAAUGUCAGCAUUGACCUAGUGGUUGUUAGGAAUAUAUAAAUACUAGUAAGGGUUCAAGUUAAGUAGGAAUGUCUCUAUAUUUGUGCAUUGUAGCCACCAAUGCAUAUGAAGUGUUGUAAGGCUGUAACUAUAUCCGUUGCUAUUUUGCAACGCUUAUUCACGUCAA